rnacentral:rRNA from 1 species
CUUCGGCUACCACUUACAGAUGGACCCGCGGCGCAUUAGCUAGUUGGUGAGGUAACGGCUCACCAAGGCGACGAUGCGUAGCCGACCUGAGAGGGUGAUCGUCCACACUGGGACUGAGACACGGCCCAGACUCCUACGGGAGGCAGCAGUAGGGAAUCUUCCGCAAUGGACGAAAAGUCUGACGGAGCAACGCCGCGUGAGUGAUGAAGGUUUUCGGAUCGUAAAGCUCUGUUGUUAGGGAAGAACAAGUGCCGUUCGAAUAGGGCGGUACCUUGACGGUACCUAACCAGAAAGCCACGGCUAACUACAUGCCAGCAGCCGCGGUAAUACGUAGGUGGCAAGCGUUGUCCGGAAUUAUUGGGCGUAAAGGGCUCGCAGGCGGUUUCUUAAGUCUGAUGUGAAAAGCCCCCGGCUCAACCGGGGAGGGUCAUUGGAAACUGGGGAACUUGAGUGCAGAAGAGGAGAGUGGAAUUCCACGUGUAGCGGUGAAAUGCGU